rnacentral:rRNA from 1 species
GCGUGUGUGAAGAAGGCCUGCGGGUUGUAAAGCACUUUCAGUUGGGAAGAAAAGUACUUAGCUAAUAACUAGGUACCUUGACGUUACCAAUAGAAGAAGCACCGGCUAACUCUGUGCCAGCAGCCGCGGUAAUACAGAGGGUGCAAGCGUUAAUCGGAAUUACUGGGCGUAAAGCGUGCGUAGGUGGCUAAGUAAGUCAGAUGUGAAAGCCCAAGGCUUAACCUUGGAAUUGCAUUUGAUACUGCUUAGCUAGAGUACAGUAAAGGGAAGCGGAAUUCCUAGUGUAGCGGUGAAAUGCGU